rnacentral:rRNA from 1 species
UACGUAGGGAGCAAGCGUUGUCCGGAAUCAUUGGGCGUAAAGCGCGCGUAGGUGGCUUCGUAAGUCCGUUGUGAAAGUCAAAGGCUCAACCUUUGAAAGCCGAUGGAUACUGCGGAGCUAGAGUACGGAAGAGGCGAGUGGAAUUCCUGGUGUAGCGGUGGAAUGCGCAGAUAUCAGGAGGAACACCGGUGGCGAAGGCGGGUCUCUGGGCAGUAACUGACGCUGAGGAGCGAAAGCGUGGGGAGCGAGCAGG